UUCACACUCACCACUUUGAUUCCAACAGCGAAGUCGAAGUCGUGGUCAGGAGUAAGACUGAGCUGGGUAGAGAUAGUAAGGAAGCUGAACCCCAUCCUAACUGAUGUAAAAGAGACAGGCCAAGGCUGUCUUUGGAACGGAAAAAGAACAAGAUUUUCAGAUUUUCACAUGAUUUUCAUAACAGAAGCUUUGGAUGAGGGGCACUGGAUAGCUGGGGAAGACGCAAGAGGGAGAAUUGCUUUACAACCCUUUGGCUAUUGUCACUCCAGUUCCUAGCUUAAAACUGUACGGGACAUUUCCAGUAUAGAGCCUGCUGAGAAUGAACAUGAAAUCAAGGACAUUACCUGAUGAUGGAUUAUGUAGAUGGCGAAGGUGUGGUGGCACGGAGACCUCUUGGUGACCAGGCCGGACACUGAGCAAUCUGUCCAGCAGCUUAUC
rnacentral:lncRNA from 10 species